GGGUUGUGAGGUUAAGCGACUAAGCGUACACGGUGGAUGCCCUGGCAGUCAGAGGCGAUGAAGGACGUGCUAAUCUGCGAAAAGCGUCGGUAAGGUGAUAUGAACCGUUAUAACCGGCGAUGUCCGAAUGGGGAAACCCAGUGUGAUUCGUCACACUAUCGUUAACUGAAUACAUAGGUUAACGAGGCGAACCGGGGGAACUGAAACAUCUAAGUACCCCGAGGAAAAGAAAUCAACCGAGAUUCCCCCAGUAGCGGCGAGCGAACGGGGAGCAGCCCAGAGUCUGAAUCAGCUUGUGUGUUAGUGGAACGGUCUGGAAAGUCCGACGGUACAGGGUGAUAGUCCCGUACACCAAAAUGCACAGGCUGUGAACUCGAAGAGUAGGGCGGGACACGUGGUAUCCUGUCUGAAUAUGGGGGGACCAUCCUCCAAGGCUAAAUACUCCUGACUGACCGAUAGUGAACCAGUACCGUGAGGGAAAGGCGAAAAGAACCCCGGCGAGGGGAGUGAAAAAGAACCUGAAACCGUGUACGUACAAGCAGUGGGAGCACCUUCGGGUGUGACUGCGUACCUUUUGUAUAAUGGGUCAGCGACUUAUAUUCUGUAGCAAGGUUAACCGUAUAGGGGAGCCGCAGGGAAACCGAGUCUUAACUGGGCGUUAAGUUGCAGGGUAUAGACCCGAAACCCGGUGAUCUAGCCAUGGGCAGGUUGAAGGUUGGGUAACACUAACUGGAGGACCGAACCGACUAAUGUUGAAAAAUUAGCGGAUGACUUGUGGCUGGGGGUGAAAGGCCAAUCAAACCGGGAGAUAGCUGGUUCUCCCCGAAAGCUAUUUAGGUAGCGCCUCGUGAACUCAUCUUCGGGGGUAGAGCACUGUUUCGGCUAGGGGGUCAUCCCGACUUACCAACCCGAUGCAAACUACGAAUACCGAAGAAUGUUAUCACGGGAGACACACGGCGGGUGCUAACGUCCGUCGUGAAGAGGGAAACAACCCAGACCGCCAGCUAAGGUCCCAAAGUCAUGGUUAAGUGGGAAACGAUGUGGGAAGGCACAGACAGCCAGGAUGUUGGCUUAGAAGCAGCCAUCAUUUAAAGAAAGCGUAAUAGCUCACUGGUCGAGUCGGCCUGCGCGGAAGAUGUAACGGGGCUAAACCAUGCACCGAAGCUGCGGCAGCGACACUAUGUGUUGUUGGGUAGGGGAGCGUUCUGUAAGCCUGCGAAGGUGACCUGUGAGGGUUGCUGGAGGUAUCAGAAGUGCGAAUGCUGACAUAAGUAACGAUAAAGCGGGUGAAAAGCCCGCUCGCCGGAAGACCAAGGGUUCCUGUCCAACGUUAAUCGGGGCAGGGUGAGUCGACCCCUAAGGCGAGGCCGAAAGGCGUAGUCGAUGGGAAACAGGUUAAUAUUCCUGUACUUGGUGUUACUGCGAAGGGGGGACGGAGAAGGCUAUGUUAGCCGGGCGACGGUUGUCCCGGUUUAAGCAUGUAGGCUGAUUGUCCAGGCAAAUCCGGAUAAUCAAGGCUGAGGUGUGAUGACGAGGCACUACGGUGCUGAAGUAACAAAUGCCCUGCUUCCAGGAAAAGCCUCUAAGCAUCAGGUAACAUCAAAUCGUACCCCAAACCGACACAGGUGGUCAGGUAGAGAAUACCAAGGCGCUUGAGAGAACUCGGGUGAAGGAACUAGGCAAAAUGGUGCCGUAACUUCGGGAGAAGGCACGCUGGUGUGUAGGUGAAGUCCCUGCGGAUGGAGCUGAGACCAGUCGAAGAUACCAGCUGGCUGCAACUGUUUAUUAAAAACACAGCACUGUGCAAACACGAAAGUGGACGUAUACGGUGUGACGCCUGCCCGGUGCCGGAAGGUUAAUUGAUGGGGUUAUCCGUAAGGAGAAGCUCUUGAUCGAAGCCCCGGUAAACGGCGGCCGUAACUAUAACGGUCCUAAGGUAGCGAAAUUCCUUGUCGGGUAAGUUCCGACCUGCACGAAUGGCGUAAUGAUGGCCAGGCUGUCUCCACCCGAGACUCAGUGAAAUUGAACUCGCUGUGAAGAUGCAGUGUACCCGCGGCAAGACGGAAAGACCCCGUGAACCUUUACUAUAGCUUGACACUGAACAUUGAGCCUUGAUGUGUAGGAUAGGUGGGAGGCUUUGAAGCGUGGACGCCAGUCUGCGUGGAGCCAACCUUGAAAUACCACCCUUUAAUGUUUGAUGUUCUAACGUUGGCCCCUGACCGGGGUUGCGGACAGUGUCUGGUGGGUAGUUUGACUGGGGCGGUCUCCUCCCAAAGCGUAACGGAGGAGCACGAAGGUUAGCUAAUCCUGGUCGGACAUCAGGAGGUUAGUGCAAUGGCAUAAGCUAGCUUGACUGCGAGCGUGACGGCGCGAGCAGGUGCGAAAGCAGGUCAUAGUGAUCCGGUGGUUCUGAAUGGAAGGGCCAUCGCUCAACGGAUAAAAGGUACUCCGGGGAUAACAGGCUGAUACCGCCCAAGAGUUCAUAUCGACGGCGGUGUUUGGCACCUCGAUGUCGGCUCAUCACAUCCUGGGGCUGAAGUAGGUCCCAAGGGUAUGGCUGUUCGCCAUUUAAAGUGGUACGCGAGCUGGGUUUAGAACGUCGUGAGACAGUUCGGUCCCUAUCUGCCGUGGGCGCUGGAGAAUUGAGGGGGGCUGCUCCUAGUACGAGAGGACCGGAGUGGACGCAUCACUGGUGUUCGGGUUGUCAUGCCAAUGGCACUGCCCGGUAGCUAAAUGCGGAAGAGAUAAGUGCUGAAAGCAUCUAAGCACGAAACUUGCCCCGAGAUGAGUUCUCCCUGAGACUUUAAGUCUCCUGAAGGAACGUUGAAGACGACGACGUUGAUAGGCCGGGUGUGUAAGCGCAGCGAUGCGUUGAGCUAACCGGUACUAAUGAACCGUGAGGCUUAACCUUACAACGCCGAAG
rnacentral:rRNA from 1 species